AGACUACACCCUGACUGGUUAUUCCUCUGGUGGAGUCUGGAGCCUGCUGCCUGCCCACAGAGCUUCAGAAUUCUGAUUUCUUGCUGCCUCUUUGCUAAAAGCUGCCGUGCGAGGAAUUAAUCCAAGUAUGGAUUAGUGCUGGAUCCUUCAGAGCUCUGCCACAGGCCUCUCCACUUUGUGGAGCUAAUGCCCUGAUCCCAGACAGCAAGAAACAGCUCUGAGCUUUGACACCCUGGGCACUCCCUGCCAUCUCCUUGUCUCCUUCCUUCCAGGUCAUUGCAAGGGUCAUUCAGUUGCCCACCUUCAGCCAACCAGUCCCUCUGUGAGUCAUCCUGCACAGCAAAACCUGGAGCAGCCACAAGCUUCAGGUGUGAGUAACACUCCAAUCACUGCUGCUUGGAAUGAAAAUGAUUUUUGGGGCAAAAACACAGACAUCAGCUCAUGCUCAGAGGAACCUGUGGGAUGACUGAUGAGGAAAUACAUGAAGUGAUACAAAAAGCACCAAGUUCUGUUUUGUUCUGCUG